GACGAACGCUGGCGGCGUGCUUAACACAUGCAAGUCGAACGGAAAGGCCCUGCUUUUGUGGGGUGCUCGAGUGGCGAACGGGUGAGUAACACGUGAGUAACCUGCCCUUGACUUUGUGAUAACUUCAGGAAACUGCGGCUAAUACCGGAUAGGAGCUCCUGCUGCAUGUUGGGGGUUGGAAAGUUUCGGCGGUUGGGGAUCGAUUCGCGGCUUAUCAGCUUGUUGGUGGGGUAGUGGCUUACCAAGGCUUUGACGGGUAGCCGGCCUGAGAGGGUUACCGGCCACAUUGGGACUGAGAUACGGCCCAGACUCCUACGGGAGGCAGCAGUGGGGAAUAUUGCACAAUGGGGGGAAGCCUGAUGCAGCAACGCCGCGUGCGGGAUGCCGGCCUUCGGGUUGUAAACCGCUUUCGCCUGUGACGAAGCGUGAGUGACGGUAAUGGGUAAAGAAGCACCGGCUAACUACGUG
rnacentral:rRNA from 1 species